UAUAGACAGCACAUCUGCCCCUGAACACUCCCAUCGAGAUCUUGGAAGCUCAGCGGGGCUGGACCCGGUUAGUACUUGAGUGGGAGAACACAUGUCUUAGUGAUAA
rnacentral:rRNA from 1 species